rnacentral:rRNA from 1 species
UACGUAGGGUGCGAGCGUUGUCCGGAAUUAUUGGGCGUAAAGGGCUCGUAGGCGGUUUGUCGCGUCGGGAGUGAAAACCUCGGGCUUAACUCGGGGCUUGCUUUCGAUACGGGCAGACUAGAGGUAUGCAGGGGAGAACGGAAUUCCUGGUGUAGCGGUGAAAUGCGCAGAUAUCAGGAGGAACACCAAUGGCGAAGGCAGCUCGCUGGAACGGUACUGACGCUGAGGCGCGAAAGCCGUGGGGAGCAAACAGG